CCACUGGUGAGGAGUCCCACAAUAGGACGAAACGGCCGUCCAGUGC
rnacentral:hammerhead_ribozyme from 1 species